CGCUUCGGAGAGAGAAAUGCUGGGAGACAGGGUUUCACCAUAUUGGCCAGGCUGGUCUCGAACUCCUGACUUCGUGAUCUGCCCACCUCGGCUUCCCAAAGUGCUGAGGUUGCAGGCGUGAGCCACCGUGCCCGGCCGCGUUUCCUACUCUUUAAGCUCUGUUAGCUUGGCCUCUGUCCCUGAAGGUGCAGCUUCAAGCUUAGGACCACCCACCAUGCCUAUCCAGGUGCUGAAGGGCCUGACCAUCACUCAUUAAGAACAGAGGAGGCUGCCUGUUACUCCUGGUGUUGGUGAGAAGGCAGAUGUAGACAGCAUCCCUCCAGACACUCUGCUGUUUCCUGCCUAGGCGUGGCUGCAGCCAUGGCUAGGAAAGCGCUGCCACCCACCCACCUGGGCCAGAGCUGGUUCUGCUCCUGCUGCAGGGACACUGAGCUGGCUAUCUCGGCGCUUCGGGCAAGAACUGCAACAGGCUCUCCUGGGUCCUGCAGGUGUACAGCCGGGCCCCUGCCUUGUGCCUCAGCUCUCGAGAGCUGCUGCUGCCGGGUGACCUGAUCCAACCUGAUAAGGUGCCAUCUUCAGCUACCACUGCAAGGCCCUGAGGGCAACAGCAGCACGGCACUGCCCACCCGGCUGCUGAUGGCCUGGUGCCAGCUGGGAGUCCUCCCGGCACUUCGAGGCCACUGAGCCACCCUUCCAGCCCCAGCCCACCAUGGACAGGGGUAUCCAGCUUCCUCCUCAACCUCGUCCUCUGCCCCUGAGCCAGUGACGCCCAAGGACAUGCCUGUUACCCAGGUCCUGUACCAGCACUAGCUGGUCAAGGGCAUGACAGUGCUGGAGGCCGUCUUGGAGAUCCAGGCCAUCACUGGCAGCAGGCUGCUCUCCAUGGUGCCAGGGCCCGCCAGGCCACCAGGCUCAUGCUGGGACCCAACCCAGUGCACAAGGACUUGGCUGCUGAGCCACACACCCAGGAGAAGGUGGAUAAGUGGGCUACCAAGGGCUUCCUGCAGGCUAGGGGAGGAGCCACCCCCGCUUCCCUAUUGUGACCAGGCCUAUGGGGAGGAGCUGUCCAUACGCCACCGUGAGACCUGGGCCUGGCUCUCAAGGACAGACACCGCCUGGCCUGGUGCUCCAGGGGUGAAGCAGGCCAGAAUCCUGGGGGAGCUGCUCCUGGUUUGAGCUGCAUUCAGGAAGUGCGGGACAUGGUAGGGGAGGCAAAAAGCCUUGGGCACUACCCUCCCUGUGGAGCUGUUCGGUGUCCGUCGAGCUAGCCACACCCUGACACCAUGUUCAAGGGUACCGGAAGAGAAGGGUGUCUGCCCCCAACCUCCCCUGUGGGUGUCACUGGCCAGAUGUCAUGAGGGAAGCAGGCCUUGUGAGUGGACACUGACCAUGAGUCCCUGGGGGGAGUGAUCCCCCAGGCAUCGUGUGCCAUGUUGCACUUCUGCCCAGGCAGCAGGGUGGGUGGGUACCAUGGGUGCCCACCCCUCCACCACAUGGGGCCCCAAAGCACUGCAGGCCAAGCAGGGCAACCCCACACCCUUGACAUAAAAGCAUCUUGAAGCUUUUA
ensembl:lncRNA C19orf48P multidrug resistance-related protein